rnacentral:rRNA from 1 species
AUUUAUUGGAGAGUUUGAUCCUGGCUCAGGACGAACGCUGGCGGCGUGCCUAAUACAUGCAAGUCGAGCGCGGGAAGCAAGCAGAUCCCUUCGGGGUGACGCAUGUGGAACGAGCGGCGGACGGGUGAGUAACACGUGGGCAACCUGCCUUGCAGACUGGG